AUCAAAACCACAAUGAGCUAUCACCUCACCCCUGUUAGGAUGACAGUCAUCAAAAGGACAAUAAAUAACAAGUGGUUAUGAGAACAUGG